AUGCCUUCUCCAGGGCAGCAGAGGAGCUACACACAGGUUUAUGAGGUUGAAAAGAAAAAAUAGCCCCUGGCGAUAGCCGAUGGAUUGGCCCGCAGGUCUGUGUGCAGGUUGCAUGUGAACUCGAGAAGAGACGCACGGAGCUGCCAAGUGGGGUUGAAUCCCGGGUAAUGUUUGCAGCCACAAAAUGGAAGCAGCCUGGGACCCUGAAAAGAAUCUCCCAGCACACACAAGACCAUAAUUCAGUGAUCAUGGAAUAGAAGAUAAACACAGCCUAGCAUAUCGACAC
rnacentral:lncRNA from 1 species